rnacentral:rRNA from 1 species
GAUGAACGCUGGCGGCGUGCCUAAUACAUGCAAGUCGAGCGAACAGACGAGGAGCUUGCUCCUCUGACGUUAGCGGCGGACGGGUGAGUAACACGUGGAUAACCUACCUAUAAGACUGGGAUAACUUCGGGAAACCGGAGCUAAUACCGGAUAAUAUAUUGAACCGCAUGGUUCAAUAGUGAAAGACCGUUUUGCUGUCACUUAUAGAUGGAUCCGCGCCGCAUUAGCUAGUUGGUAAGGUAACGGCUUACCAAGGCAACGAUGCGUAGCCGACCUGAGAGGGUGAUCGGCCACACUGGAACUGGAACACGGUCCAGACUCCUGCGGGAGGCAGCAGUAGGGAAUCUUCCGCAAUGGGCGAAAGCCUGACGGAGCAACGCCGCGUGAGUGAUGAAGGUCUUCGGAUCGUAAAACUCUGUUAUUAGGGAAGAACAAAUGUGUAAGUAACUAUGCACGUCUUGACGGUACCUAAUCAGAAAGCCACGGCUAACUACGUG